rnacentral:misc_RNA from 1 species
GAUGAAGAACGUAGCAAACUGCGAUAAGUAAUGUGAAUUGCAGAAUUCAGUGAAUCAUCGAAUCUUUGAACGCACAUUGCGCCCGCCAGUAUUCUGGCGGGCAUGCCUGUUCGAGCGUCAUUUCAACCCUCAAGCACAGCUUGGUGUUGGGACUCGCGUUAAUUCGCGUUCCUCAAAUUGAUUGGCGGUCACGUCGAGCUUCCAUAGCGUAGUAGUAAAACCCUCGUUACUGGUAAUCGUCGCGGCCACGCCGUUAAACCCCAACUUCUGAAUGUUGACCUCGGAUCAGGUAGGAAUACCCGCUGAACUUAAGCAUAUCAAUAAGCGGAGGA